rnacentral:piRNA from 1 species
UAGGUCUUUUCCAGCCUUCCAGGCAUCUCUG